rnacentral:rRNA from 1 species
UACGUAGGCAGCGAGCGUUGUUCGGAGUUACUGGGCGUAAAGAGUGCGUAGGCGGUUUUCUAAGUUUGGUGUGAAAUCUCCCGGCUUAACUGGGAGGGUGCGCCGAAAACUGGAAGGCUUGAGUAUGGGAGAGGUAAGCGGAAUUCCUGGUGUAGCGGUGAAAUGCGUAGAUAUCGUUUGGAACGCCAAUGGUGAAAACAAGUAGCUGGGGAUGUGCCGACGCUGAGACACGAAAGCCAGGGGAGCAAACGGG